rnacentral:snRNA from 1 species
AUCGCUUCUCGGCCUUUUGGCUAAGAUCAAGUGUAGUAUCUGGAAAUGCUGAAGUUUAGUUGGUUUGGGUAGAAUUCCAAACACAUAUGCUGAGUGAUGAAUCAGCAUUUGUUCUGAAUGCAAAAAGAGCUCAUUCUACUUUUAAAAAAAAUUUUUUUUAGUUGUAUAUGGACU